rnacentral:lncRNA from 1 species
GAACCAAAUGCACGCGCCCGCCCUCCGGAUCCCACCCAGGCAGAGAGCAGAAAAGUGCGCGCCUGGCGAGAGCGCGCCGAGAGCGAGCACCUGUGCGCGCAGGUGGGGAGGACGCGCGGUGGCAUCAGCGGCAGCAGCAGCAUGGUGACGCCGCCCAUGGAGCCAGCAGGGCAAGGAGUUGGGCGACGCGACCCACCUGAAGACGCGCAGCAGCAGACAGGCGAUGAGCAGCGCGCUGAAGGCACAUGCCACGAUCACCGUCGCCUUCAGGGUAGGCAGGUCACGAAGCAGACUGGAGAUGCGGGUCACCACCGCGUCGACGCUGCUGUUGGAGCUUCCCCCGCCCGCCAUGCCGGAUCCCAGCUGGGUAGCAUUCCCGGGACCGGGCGGAGGCUGGUGUUCUGCUUCGGGCUGGGAGGCCGAAGCGGACUCGGCUCUGCGAGCGAGGGCGGCGGGCGCGGCCAGGAGCGCGAGCAGCAGCAGCAGCAGCGGUGGCGGCGGUUGGGGUGGCAGGGCGCUCAUGGUGCACUAUGCGCACGCACGGUGCGGAGGUCUGCGUCCCGGAGGCUUGCACCCCGGAGGCCUGAGCCCCAGAGGCUGGCACCCGGGAGGCCUGCGCCGGGGUCUCCGGCUGCCGAGGCGGCUGCGCGAUGCUCGGCAGGAAGCUGCAGAGCCCGGAAGAACCCGCGCCGCCGCUGCAGCCACCAACACGUUGCACAGAGUCAUUCGACGGGCUUCGGCCCCGCGUGGGCGGGGCAGACCUCGGCUGGGUCCCCGCUGCGCUCCGCCCCUGGGUAGCCCAACCCGAUCAGGACCUAAGACCCCAUGGAGGAAUCCUAACUGCUUGGCUCACUCUGCUCCGGGCAGGCAGAAUGAUGAACUGUUCACGCGAUUUAUUUCUUUCAGUAUGGCAGCCCUCUCUGGAAACAGGUAUUCUUUUGCCCUGGUUUGUUGAUUUAGCACGCAGGGAGUCAGCUCACAGCAACCCAGAUUUCCCACCUAGAGUUUGCAAGCCCUUUGCACUUCAGCUGGUGAACCUUUGGAAGUAAUCUCUCCUUCUCCAGACCAGACUUAAAUUUCAAACUCCAAGGAGUAAUUUAUUGUGGUUCUGUCUCUGGUAUAUAAACUAAGUAAUGUUGGGGUGGGGAAAGACUAUUCUCUUGGGAGUCCAGGAAUUGAUACAGUGCUGAGUGGGUUCCUGGAGCAACCGUUACAGAACCUUGGAUGAUCUGGAAGGUGCUCCCCAAUGAUCAGUAAAUAUCUAAACAUACAGAACAAGGACCAAGAGACUUUGAUCAGCUCAUUUCUGGUCCUGCUAGAGAAACAGACAAAUAUAACGAUGCAUUCAUUGUCUAUAGUUACAUAACCAAGCUUCCAUAACAAAUUAUCCCAAAACCUAGUAGGUCACCACAAUCCCCAUUAUCUGGGUUGUCCUGUUUUAAGGUAUCUUGUUAAGUUUAAGAUCAAACUAAUACCCCCUCCCCCAGAUCUCCUCAAAAGGUUCACAUGGGAGCUGAUCUGUCCCCGAGCUCAACUGGCUUUCCCUGACUGAUUCAGCGCUUCACAAACUGCUAGCCCCGAACCUCCAUUCCCCAUCUCUGUCUGUCAGAAGCUGCCCUAAGUUCUAACGGUGAGAAUUUCCAACAGAGCGUUUUGCAUCUUCAACGUGUUCAAGCCCAGUUAGCAAUAAAUUCAGGGAGCCGGACAGAAGACAGUUCUGUAAAACUUAAUUACAGAUGUGACACCCCCACACUUUCUCCUGAAUCGGUUCAUUAGAUGCAUACCACCACUCUUUGUUCACAAUUCAGGAAAGAAGGCGUCACAAUGACGUAAAUAACAGGAAGCGGGAGCAUCAGGGCCACCUAACAGCUGUCUGCCAUAUACACUGGGGGUGGGGGUGGGGUGAGCAAUAUUGAGAUUCCCAGAAGUCAUUGCCCACCAAGCACUUUGUGUAUCAAGUGUUUUCAAGCAUGCUACAGGGAUGAGAGAGAAAGAUCAUCUGCUAGACAGAGCACAUCGUUAAUCCCAGCAUUGAGGAGGCAGAGGUAGACAGAUGUCUAUGAGUCUGAUGCCAUCCUGGUCUACAUAGUGAGUUCCCAGAUAGCCAGAACUGCAUGGUAAGAUCCAGACCCAAAAGAAGAAAAAGGAAAAGAAAAAUCCUAUGGUUAAAGUAUUCCAGCUCUGAACUACAUUGAUGGAGAAGUCUUGUUUUCGUAUCAGAAUAUACACAGAAAAUUCCCUAAAGAUCUAGGUGUGACGUCCAUAAUUCCCCAAGCUUCAGAUGUCACAGCCUUGAAAUUUGUUAGUUAGAGGAAAGUUCUGUAUAGUAGAGGGAAAGUGUUCCCAACUUAAAGCCUCUCAACCAGGAUGGAAGUUGACGGUUGAGUGACCUUGGCCAGCAAGGGUUUAACUGGGGAAUACCAGGUUUUUAAUAUCUAAAGAGAAGGAAGCAAUUGCAAGCAUGAUAAGGCCACUGAGAACAUCUGUAAAACGGGGGCUAGAGAAAUGAAGCUGCAGAGGACCUUGGUCCAGUUCCCAGAACCCACAUCAGGUGGCUCAAAACUAACUCUAGUUUCAGGUGAUCCAGCGCCCUCCUAUAGCCUCCCUAGGCACUGCACACAGGUAGUGCAUGCAGACAGAGAAACAGGCACACAAACAUACAAAUAAAUAAAAAUAAUAUUGGCAUUCUCUCUUUUUGCCACAAUUUAUGAGCUGUAGAUGUGAUUAUUUGACAUCAGCGUAAAGAACACGGAGAUUAUAGAAAGUAUAAAUGUCAAACUAUUUUAGUAAAGUGAAACCUUUAGGUCUAUCAUUCUUCCUAAUUAACUAAGGCUUAUGUACAGAUUGCCCCAUAUUAGAGUCCCUAAAGCAUUUGGCCCAAAAUGGCAACAACGGCAAACUUUAGCUUUAAUAACAAGGGUUGGGGGGCUGGAGAGAUGGCUCAGCGGUUAAGAGCACUGACUGCUCUUUUAGAGGUCCUGAGUUCAAUUCCCAGCAACCACAUGGUGGCUCACAACCAUCUGUAAUGGGAUCUGAUGCCAGAUUCUGCUGUGUCUGAAGUCAGCUACAGUGUACUCAUAUACAAUAAAUUAAAGU